rnacentral:rRNA from 1 species
GAUGAACGCUAGCGGCAGGCCUAACACAUGCAAGUCGAGGGGAUGAAGGGAGCUUGCUCCUGGAUUCAGCGGCGGACGGGUGAGUAAUGCCUAGGAAUCUGCCUGGUAGUGGGGGAUAACGUCCGGAAACGGGCGCUAAUACCGCAUACGUCCUGAGGGAGAAAGUGGGGGAUCUUCGGACCUCACGCUAUCAGAUGAGCCUAGGUCGGAUUAGCUAGUUGGUGGGGUAAAGGCCUACCAAGGCGACGAUCCGUAACUGGUCUGAGAGGAUGAUCAGUCACACUGGAACUGAGACACGGUCCAGACUCCUACGGGAGGCAGCAGUGGGGAAUAUUGGACAAUGGGCGAAAGCCUGAUCCAGCCAUGCCGCGUGUGUGAAGAAGGUCUUCGGAUUGUAAAGCACUUUAAGUUGGGAGGAAGGGCAGUAAGUUAAUACCUUGCUGUUUUGACGUUACCAACAGAAUAAGCACCGGCUAACUUCGUGCCAGCAGCCGCGGUAAUACGAAGGGUGCAAGCGUUAAUCGGAAUUACUGGGCGUAAAGCGCGCGUAGGUGGUUCAGUAAGUUGGAUGUGAAAUCCCCGGGCUCAACCUGGGAACUGCAUCCAAAACUACUGAGCUAGAGUACGGUAGAGGGUGGUGGAAUUUCCUGUGUAGCGGUGAAAUGCGUAGAUAUAGGAAGGAACACCAGUGGCGAAGGCGACCACCUGGACUGAUACUGACACUGAGGUGCGAAAGCGUGGGGAGCAAACAGG